GGUAAACUUAUGUCACGAGAGUUUGCUGUACAGAUUACUAAAUCAUCCAGUGCACCUGGAGAAUGAUGCCAUUUCAAGGACUCAGUGCUGGUUGCUACUGCUGGCAGAUUGGGCAUCCAUCAGCGGCUGUGGCCAGGCUGACCUUGACACAGUCUCCCUUUGUUGUCCAGGCUGGAGUGCAGUGGCAUGAUCAUAGCUCACCGCCACCUUGAACUCCUGGUCUCAUGGAUCCCCCCAUCUCAGCCUUCUGAGUAGCUGGGACUACAGGCAUGUGCCACCAUGCCCAGGUAAGUUUUUAAUAUUUUUUGUAGAGACAGGGAGUUGGCCAUCUUGCCCAGGCUGGUCCCGAAUGAUAACAUACUGUUUUAUAAGUGGUUACUUGUAAUCUCACUUAAUUAAAGAUGCUAAUUGCACAAGUGUGCAAUUCAUCAUGAUGAUGAUAUAGAACCUGAGGCACGGAAAAAUUCAGAAUUGAGAAGCUGAAAACUCGUCUUCAAACUCAGAAAAAAAAUUAAGAUAUCAGCAGGACACUUUUUACUUUAAAAAUGUGUUUAGUUAAGGGAGUAGUUAUUGUUAAAUACAUGUUGUAGUAUUUGUAAAUUGUCAGCUCUCUUAUUUUCUUUCUCAGAAAUAUUUCCCCAUGGUGUCUCAAAGUUUCCAAACUUGCCUGAUCAUGAAGUUCUUCUGAGAAACUCUUUAAAAUGGACGUUCAGAGCCCCUCCCCUGGAGAGGCUGAUGCAUCUGGGUGGGGGAAGAAAUUCAUAUAUCUAACUGUUUCCCCAGGUGGUUCUUAUGAUCAGGCAGGAAUAGGAAAAAGCGCAUCAGCUGAUCUGCCCAUUUUGCUGAUUGGGGGAAUGUGUAUUCAUGCAAGUCAACCACCAAAAUUACAUUUUGUCUAAGUCACAGCGUGCUCAAAUUCAGUAAUUGUUCCCUCAGACUUAGCAGUGGGUUGAAGCCUGCAGGGCUGAAAAGUUAAUUACAGUGAAGGUUGAGAAGGUAACUUGGCCACACAGCCCUUUGUGGCAGGAUUAUAUUUCACAGAGUUAAUCUCUGUGUUUUCAGAGUAAUUCCUUCCCUCACUGUUUCUCACUCAUGCACUGAGGGGCUCUUUUCUUCCCUCCCACACUCUUCCCUCCUUCCUUCCCUCCAUCCAGCCAACACCAAAGCAGAAACAAAGACUGAAAGAAGCUUCGGCUUCAGUGUCAGACAAUAGGGCUGGAAGAUAUACUUGCCAAGAUAGGGUCGGCCUAGAAGGAAGUAAGUAAGGAGAAAACAGAAACUAAAGGGAGAUAAGAGGACAGAGUGGCAGGCGAGGGGCCACAGAAUAGGAAGGGAGGGGAGAACUUCUAUCUCAGGACUAGGAAGUGGGGAUUCAGCACUGAUCUGGAGUAUAGGUACUCUGCUGACCUGCUGUCUAAUAGUCCUUCCACUUAGGAGGAGAGAUGACUCAACACUUUGUGCAGAGAUGACACUGUGAUGGAAGGACAUCACCCUUGAUUUGCAUGGCCUGUUGAGAACCGAUCUUUGAGAACUGAAGUGUACAGUUGAAACAUAAGCUCAGAAAACUAAAUCCUUACCUUUUGGCAAAAAUUUUUUAGCCCCUUUGAUAAUAUCUUCAUCAUUAUUGAGUCAAGCUCAUUUCUCUCUUCUUUCUACACUAAGGCCAGACCAUAAAAGCACAUAUAAGUAUGUCCAAAGCUUUUGAAUUUGUCAAUUCUUAUUUCUAAUGAAAAAUAAUAAAUGUCAUUCUCAUGCCCCAGUUACAUUAGUGAAGACAGGCAAACUCCUAACAAUCCCAAAGUUUCUGUGGCUUGACCCAAUAAAGGUUUACUUCUUGAUUGCUAGGUUCUAGCCACUAGACCUGGAGAUUUUUCUAUUACAUUGAUCAAGUAACCCUUUUAUAAGGUAUGCAUAUAUUUUAUUCCUAGGGUCCUUGAAAUUAAUAAGCCACUGCCAAAUAUCUUGUGUAAAAAUAUCUCAUUGCCACUUCAUCCUGGCAGCCCAUUAUGGUCAAUGCUCUCCCUUUCUCUUUGCCAACUAAGCAUUUCCACUUCACUUCUGCUUCGAUAAUGCAGUGGAGACUGCAUUAUCUCCAGACAUCAGGAAGUGCAUCUCAAUGAUAGUAUCUCCUACUGUCGCAUCCACCCAUAAUGAAGCAGUAAGGUUAAGACUGGUGCUCCUGGCUGGGUGUGGUGGCUCACGCCUGUAAUCUCAACACUUUGGGAGGCAGAGGUGGGUGGAUCACCUGAGGUCAGGAGUUCGAGCCCAGCCUGGCCAACACGGUGAAAUCCCAUCUCCCUUAAAAAUACAAAAAAAUUAAGCAGAACAUGGUGGUGCACAUCUGUGGUCCCAGCUGCUCAGGAGGCUGAGUCAGGAGAAUCACUUGAAUUCAGGAAGCAGAGUUCUCAGUGAGCCAAGAUCGCACCACUGCACUCCAGUUUGGGCAACAGAGCAAGACUCCGUCUCAAAAAAAAAAAAAAAAAUUGUUGCUCCUCUCAUCAAUAAAAUUUUCAAUGGCUUAGUGAAGAGAGUAUCCUCUAGGCCCUCUUGGAAGAUAGGGUAGAGGAAUGGGUACAUAUCCUGCACACAAUGAAUUCACCCCCACAUUUCUAUAUUCCUAAACUUUUGGAUUCCUUCCUUCUGCCAGGGCAGUUCUGGCAUCUCAACCUCAUUGAAAGUCAGCCAAUGCUGAGCCCAAGGUUCAUGUUGACUGUUGGAGCUACUCUGCCUGCACAGGUUCACACAUUCAAUUCAGAAUGUCUGGUAAAUGUACCCAUAGCAAUAAGUAUAGACAUCGUCAGUGUUAUAUUCUUUUCCUCCAUGGUCCCACACGUAUAUCCAAGAUUGCUGCUAACGUAAAUUACCAAAGUCUUAUCAUUCUUUUAGAGGCUAUUUCUUCCUAUGUUCGACUUGUAAUUGGCCCCAGAACAUGAUUAGAUAGGACUCAAAUUAAGGGUUUACAGAUAACAAGGCGUGAUUGGGGUAGGGUUUGAGGAAAAUAAACUUCUACUUGUAAGGCAGCUGCCCCAGGUUAGGCUAUUAAAUGGUCUAACAGGGAGUCUGCUAGAACCAGGAAAACAUAGUAUGCAGAGCUUCAUCUCUGCAUGAGAAAGGAGAGUAAAAAAAGGUGACUUUGAAGCUGGAGACAAUAGUUUAUGAACUGGCCAAUGAUUGAGGCCGUGAAUCUUUCUUCCCUAGCUUGUGGGAGCCUUUUGAAAGCAGUACUGCACCUUGCUCUAGCAUUUUGAAAAGUGACCUCAGUGUAAAGAAAUUGUGAUGUGCUCUCUCUGUAACAGAUGUAUGUUUUUAAAACUGAAUCUGUUUGACCGGGCAUGGUGGCUCACGCUUGUAAUCCCAGCACUUUGGGAAGCCGAGGCUGGUGGAGCACGAGGUCUCCUGGCUAGCACGGUGAAAACCUGUCUCUACUAAAAAUACAAAAAAUUAACCUGGCAUGGUGGCGGGCGCCUGUAGUCCCAGCUACUCAGGAGGCUGAGGCAGGAGAAUGGUGUGAACCCGGGAGGCGGAGCAGUGAGCCAAGAUCACGCCACUGCACUCCAGCCUGGACGUCAGAGUCAAAAAAAAAAAAUUGAAUUUGUUUUUCUUUUUUAAUGUAGAAAUCAUUUUGGAAGAGAAAAGGUCAUGUUAGUUCUGGACCAACACCCUAAUGUCUGUGUGUUUGUGGGACAAAUAGUUUGCAAUUGAAUAGGAAACAAUGGGAAGUUGUCCUGAGUCUGACAGAUAUGAAUGAGGUAAAGAAUCUGACUACUGUACUCCAGAAUCUUCAGCCAGGCCCCAUCCUACCUUCACCGCCUGUUUCACAUUUUCAUGAAUCUUUCUCAUACUCUCCUGGUCAAAAUCAAUAUAUUCCUCCCCUCUAUUCAAUAACAUGGUGUAUGCUCUCCUUGUCCUGUAUCAGUAACAUGUAUACAUAAAUGUCAUGUGUGUGUCUCACCAAAAUAAUAGAAAGUUAUAGGUAAUUUUAUUGACCCAGCUACUCCACAGGAAUGACAGACUGGGCCCUUUGUAGCUUAACGCCGUGUCCUCUGAUGCUACCUUUGCCAUACUCAGUCAUCUGAGCCUUCCAAUAUCCUAUUUCUUCUUCUCAGGACUUGCUACUUUUACUGGUGGCACCAUGACUCCUUAUCUUUCAAAAGACUGAGUUUAAAUGUCAUUUCCUCUAGGGUGCUUUUCCUUACUGCCCCCUAGACACACCCUACCCAUGUCCUCACCCCAGGUGGGUUACGUGUUCUCACUAUGUGGGCUCAUUAAACCAUUUACUCAUCUUCUACUCUUAUUACAGCAUUCAUUAUCUUUUAUUUAUUUGCUUUUUUGGCUGUUGUUCCUGCUAGUCCAUAUGACAUGACAUCACUCACAGAGGAGGAAUGCAAUUGGUAUUUAAAAGACAAUUGUCAAAUAAAUGUUAAAAAAUGAAUGAAGGCCGGGCACGGUG
rnacentral:lncRNA from 10 species